AUCUUCUCGAAUGUCAACGUCCUCCAAUGUUGUUUGUGAUGGAAUAAUUCACAGAAGAAAAUGGGAGUCAGACAGACAGAUAUGCAGGACUUUUGAGUUUUAAAGAAUGAAAAGAAAAUGCUCACUGGUCAACCUUAGAAGUAGAAAAAAAGGUUUGUAUGCUUGAUGGGUGUGUCAUUCAUUUCCAGGGUUUGGCUUUUAUGUGAAGCUGGAAUCUGUAUCCUACAGACCAUGAUGUUCAGACAUAAAAUUAGACCCAUAAGAGCAAGUCGGUACAUGUAUUCUUGAAAUAUGAUGAUUAAAAAUCUAAUCUU